AUGACGCGGAACCCUAUGGCACUUAGUCCUCAAACCCCGUCGCACCCCUGAUAUAGAUUCCAAGAACGUGGAUAAACCACCCUCUAUAGCACCCUAAGCUUAGCGAAGCUAGAACACUAAUAACGGAAGGAUUUUGUAGAACGGAUCAGAAGAACGCCACAAUCGAAAUUGAUAAGUUGGUCUGAUUCGUGAUACAAUCAAUGAAAGAGGCAAACUCUCACUCUCUCAAAGAAGGCCGAAAUUUGCAUAAAGCAAAUCUGAAUUAAAUUUGUCAAAACAAAAUAAAGUGUCUGAUAUAAGAAUUUAAGGCCUUAUUUAUAGUGUAAGGCAAAAACCUAAACCUAGUUGGAAAAGGAAAACAAAUACUAAGUCAGAAUUCCUAUCCCAACAGGGAAACAAGCUAAAAUAACAAAAAUAACUGCCAAGUCUUUAAAAACCAACCACAUUCUCGUAUGCCUCAAUAGUUCCAGCAGAAACCACAACCUCAGGGACGAAACCACAACCUGCUUAUGGUUCGGGCUGAUUCUCCACUAUCUUCCUCCAUGAUGUGCUCCAAAAUUAACUUCCACAAAACACAAAAGUAUCUUCGGC
rnacentral:lncRNA from 1 species